UACGAAGGGGGCUAGCGUUGCUCGGAAUCACUGGGCGUAAAGCGCACGUAGGCGGACUCUUAAGUCAGGGGUGAAAUCCUGGAGCUCAACUCCAGAACUGCCUUUGAUACUGGGAGUCUUGAGUUCGGGAGAGGUGAGUGGAACUGCGAGUGUAGAGGUGAAAUCCGUAGAUAUUCGCAAGAACACCAGUGGCGAAGGCGGCUCACUGGCCCGAUACUGACGCUGAGGUGCGAAAGCGUGGGGAGCAAACAGG
rnacentral:rRNA from 1 species